UUUUUUCGGAAUUAGAGGAGCAGCUAAAGGGACACCUACCUAUUUGUAUCUGAAAAGCGGUACAGUCGUCUUACCCUUCCCUUGCUUUCAGGUUAGGAAAAGACUCUCACUUCACCAUCUCAUUUUAAAUCCGAGGAAAAGUAUAACAUAUCGAACGAAGGAAAAGCAGGCAGAUAGAAGAAAUAGAAGCAAAGAAACCGAAGUAACGAGUGAGUAGGAAAUUAUAAAAAAACUCCAACGUAUU
rnacentral:lncRNA from 1 species